rnacentral:rRNA from 1 species
UUUGGGCAAGAAGACCCUAUGAAUUUUAAAAAUUUCAAUAAAAUACAGCAUUUUAUUGAAAUUUUUUAAUUGGGGCGAUUAUUAAAUAUUAAAAACUUUAAUUUUUUAAAAAAGAACCAAUAAUAUUGGUUAUUUGAAAAAAUACUCUAGGGAUAACAGCGUAAUAAUUUUUGAUAGUUCUUAUAGACAAAAUAGUUUGCGACCUCGAUGUUGGAUUAGGAUUCUUUUUUAAUGAAGAAGUUAAAAAAAGAAGUUUGUUCAACUUUUAAAAUCCUACUUGAUCUGAGUUCAGACCGG